rnacentral:rRNA from 1 species
AAAUUGAAGAGUUUGAUCAUGGCUCAGAUUGAACGCUGGCGGCAGGCCUAACACAUGCAAGUCGAGCGGUAGCACAGAGAGCUUGCUCUCGGGUGACGAGCGGCGGACGGGUGAGUAAUGUCUGGGAAACUGCCUGAUGGAGGGGGAUAACUACUGGAAACGGUAGCUAAUACCGCAUAAUGUCGCAAGACCAAAGUGGGGGACCUUCGGGCCUCAUGCCAUCAGAUGUGCCCAGAUGGGAUUAGCUAGUAGGUGGGGUAACGGCUCACCUAGGCGACGAUCCCUAGCUGGUCUGAGAGGAUGACCAGCCACACUGGAACUGAGACACGGUCCAGACUCCUACGGGAGGCAGCAGUGGGGAAUAUUGCACAAUGGGCGCAAGCCUGAUGCAGCCAUGCCGCGUGUGUGAAGAAGGCCUUCGGGUUGUAAAGCACUUUCAGCGGGGAGGAAGGCGUUAAGGUUAAUAACCUUGGCGAUUGACGUUACCCGCAGAAGAAGCACCGGCUAACUCCGUGCCAGCAGCCGCGGUAAUACGGAGGGUGCAAGCGUUAAUCGGAAUUACUGGGCGUAAAGCGCACGCAGGCGGUCUGUCAAGUCGGAUGUGAAAUCCCCGGGCUCAACCUGGGAACUGCAUUCGAAACUGGCAGGCUAGAGUCUUGUAGAGGGGGGUAGAAUUCCAGGUGUAGCGGUGAAAUGCGUAGAGAUCUGGAGGAAUACCGGUGGCGAAGGCGGCCCCCUGGACAAAGACUGACGCUCAGGUGCGAAAGCGUGGGGAGCAAACAGGAUUAGAUACCCUGGUAGUCCACGCCGUAAACGAUGUCGAUUUGGAGGUUGUGCCCUUGAGGCGUGGCUUCCGGAGCUAACGCGUUAAAUCGACCGCCUGGGGAGUACGGCCGCAAGGUUAAAACUCAAAUGAAUUGACGGGGGCCCGCACAAGCGGUGGAGCAUGUGGUUUAAUUCGAUGCAACGCGAAGAACCUUACCUGGUCUUGACAUCCACAGAACUUUCCAGAGAUGGAUUGGUGCCUUCGGGAACUGUGAGACAGGUGCUGCAUGGCUGUCGUCAGCUCGUGUUGUGAAAUGUUGGGUUAAGUCCCGCAACGAGCGCAACCCUUAUCCUUUGUUGCCAGCGGUUAGGCCGGGAACUCAAAGGAGACUGCCAGUGAUAAACUGGAGGAAGGUGGGGAUGACGUCAAGUCAUCAUGGCCCUUACGACCAGGGCUACACACGUGCUACAAUGGCGCAUACAAAGAGAAGCGACCUCGCGAGAGCAAGCGGACCUCAUAAAGUGCGUCGUAGUCCGGAUUGGAGUCUGCAACUCGACUCCAUGAAGUCGGAAUCGCUAGUAAUCGUGGAUCAGAAUGCCACGGUGAAUACGUUCCCGGGCCUUGUACACACCGCCCGUCACACCAUGGGAGUGGGUUGCAAAAGAAGUAGGUAGCUUAACCUUCGGGAGGGCGCUUACCACUUUGUGAUUCAUGACUGGGGUGAAGUCGUAACAAGGUAACCGUAGGGGAACCUGCGGUUGGAUCACCUCCUUA